UACUCUUGAACAUACACACUGAGUUAAACCUCUGAGGACAGGGUUCCAGAGUUUGUAGAGAUUGCCAGAAACACUGGUUUGUCAGCUUCUGUAGUUUAUAGUGUGUUAUGGAGAGUUAGACAAGUAAAGGGAAGUUUCUAUGAUUGUAAUCUUUUGAUUUUGGGGGAAAAAAACUGCUUUCCCCAAACAAACAUUUUGUAAGAAUGAUUGAUUGAUUUUUUUUUUUGAUUGAGUGUGACAAGUGAUUAUAAACAAAGAAACAUGCAUUAAAAUCAUUAAAGGCAUGAUUUUUAAAUCUGUCUUGGAAAUGAGCCCUGAUUUGGGUAAAUCCAGUUUAGUACUGUACCUUUUUAGUGAAUACAUUGACAAGCCUUAUUGAACAAGCCUUCCUCAUUGAGGAAUGAGAAAAACAUUAAUUGUCACAAAUGUUUUACUGUAACUGAAGUGAUGUCAGACACAAUGAGUUUUACAUUCUAUACAUUGCAAAGUUCUUGCGGUGCAGAUAUGUACCACAGAAUAACACUAACUCGGACACACUGACAGAAUAAUACUUUAAGUGGGCUGGCAUGCAAACUCCAGUGCUUUUCAUCCAAGACUACUUUGGACAUUAUCCUAAGAAAAUGUUUUCCGGUCUUUAUUUUAAAUUAAGAUUAGUGGGAGUGAAAUUAAAUUUGGUCGUGCUCUUUAUGCAUGCUUUUAAUACUAAAUGUAAUUCCUGCCUUUCAGCACAAAUUUCCUGAUGUUUUGUCUGCAACCAAGACAUUUCUGUUUUUAAACAUUUUAUAGGUUUGUUUGGUGCAUUGUGACAAGUCUAAUGUAAGUGGCCCUGCAGCAGAUGGAAUAUUACAGAUGUAUUGCAACACAAAAGGUAGCGGGCUUAAAGAAACGUUUGUUUGUAAUAACUAGACCUUUUCAAAAACACAGAAUGAUCAAUAUGAGAAGCUGUAAAAUUACCAGUAAAUUGCUGACAUUCUACUGUGUAAACUCCAAGCCAGUCAUAAUAUUCUGACAAUGAUGACCCAUUCACUUCACACUAUUUACAGAAAUAAAAGAAAUGUCAUACAAUUGGAGUGAUAAUGUGUAAACAUAACAGUUUUUUUUGAGCUGCAGGUAUAGCUCCUCUGCCUUAUGAUCUCUCUGACAAAAGCAGCUGCAUGAAUGCCAAACUUCAAAGUAAAAAUGAAACCAUCAACAAAAACACUGCAUGUGUGAACACUGCAUUUUUUUAAAUUAACUGUUUAUGUCAUUCUGGCAAUUUUACGGCAAUUUAGAGGUAUUAAUGUGUGAAAGGGGCAAAUGAAAACUCAAAAGCCAUGUGCUACACAACAACAAAGACACAAGAAUGAACAUUCGAUAUAUGGAGAACGUGACAGUGAACUGAUCUGACAAGAGGUGCCAGGAUCCAGACAUCACUCUCCAAACAUGCAACAAAAGGACAAGAGAGCACAUGUCUAAAUGAAAGAUAAGAUACACAAGUAUUUGGGCUCUGUCACAUAGGCAAGUACAAAACAGACGUGACAUUACCCUACUCCCUCACAAUAGAGACACCAAACAUGAGACUGACACACUUCAACAAAACAAGGCAUCGAACAUGAUCACACAAGACAGACACAUACCAUCGAGACAACAAAAGACAGACAAGGGAUAUUAAGGCUAAAGAAACAAGGAGUAGAGGAAAGGAAACCAAGGCAGUACUGAUGGGACAACCCAGGAAGUCUUAGGUUGAUCCAGGGCCCAGGCAGAUGACUAAGGAGGACCUGAGUUUACAUCUUGUAUGCAGAUCAGAUGGUGGCUCAGUACCCAGGGAUUAUGUUCAUCAGAGAGCAGAACACCCAGCAGAACACCUGUGGACAGAUCAUCUGGAUCCAGAUGCACACACACACACACACACACAAACACAGUUUCUGGACUAGUGGAUCGUUCCAUCUGCCAUUUUAAACAGGCUGACAGGCAGAGGUAAUGACUGGUGGACUCUCUGACUUCAGCUGUUUCCACAAGCUCUUCUGCAUCAAGGUGUAAGAUCUUCCCAUGUCUAACACUGCCUUCAGCUGCUGUUAAUUCACUCUUACAGGAACAACGUGAAAUGUGACUGGAUGAACUUCUGCUAGAGUCACUCCAGCCAUGUUUUUACUGUUAGUACACUCUGCAAGCUUAUUGGGCUUAUCUUUUCUGCCUUGUAUACUGACUUUUUGCCAGUAGUCCUUCACUCCCAUGCAAUCCCUUUCUAUCAUUGACCCAACCUGUAGCUGCUUCACAAUGUUCACUGGACCCGGAGGCAUCUGGCAACCCCAUCCUGGCUUUCUGUCCACUAAGAAACCAUGUUCUGGCCUGCAGUGUACAGUGACAUUGAAAAAAGAAGUCUCCAUAUGUGCAAUGCUUUAAAGCAGCACCACAUUGAGACAACCUUUGCAAAUUCACCAGAUACCAGACUUACCUUGAAGAAUUACCUUGUCUUGGUGGAUUCAUGCUCUGGAUAGUGGGAGUUUGAUGCCAUUCAAAAUCAUUCCAGCAACACUGUGAUCAGGCAGUUAAAUAUAAUAUAUAAAUUAUACUAUUAUAUAUUACUUUCGCAAUUAUCUGCUCUGCAAUGGUACAUUUUUUAUUCUGCUGUGGUGGUCUUCUGUCCUGUUCUGGUGGUCUUCUGUUCAAUCUGUUCUGCUGUGAGGAUCUUCGGACUCAUCUACUUUGCUGUAGUGGUCCUCAGCUCCACCUGUUCUGCUGGUUCCACCCUGGUUCCCUGCUCUGCCUCAGUCUCUCGUCUCUCCACUUCUGCAUGAAUCUGUCACAAAUCCGGUUUAUGACUUUCCGUCCAAAUGCCAGAGUCAGAGGCAGUCCUCGCCUGAGUACUAGCUGUGCUCAACCCUCCAGCUUCCUCGGUCCACUUGAGUUUUGCAGGUUUGCCUUUUAGAAGAGAAGUUAGAAGGGAUGCUUUGUAGAAGUUAGCAAAGCCUUUACUGGGGUGGGUUGUGGCCAAUCGGUAACUGCCUAGACCUUUACCAUUUUGACUCCGUGGUGACUUAUGUGGUAUACCUGGAACGUGGUUUGACUAACAUGAAAUUUACACUUCUCAGCUUUUACGUAGAGCUGAUUAUCCAACAUAAUGUUACCCUUUUCAAAAACCCUGGUAAAAUAACGUACUUAAUUUAAUUAUUGAAAUUAUUAUUUCAAUAAUUUACAUCAUCUCUCAACUAGGAUUCCAACACUUCAUCUUUCAUCAUCCCACACAUCUCUCACUUCUAUAAUGCUCUAUUUCUGAUGAUUUAUGAGGCUUGAUCGAUACUGUUACAAUUUUUAACAUGUGUUUGUAUGUAAAUGAAAUUACAAAUAACUUACACAUAAUAAUGUAUACACAAUAAUGUAAUAAUGUAGAAAAGAAUUAUUUAGUCUAAAAAAUACUGUACACUGUGUAGCUAUACAAUCAUUUUUUGAAUGGUUGAAUUUAUUAAUUUUAAUACAAACUGAGCAAAAAAAAGAAAAUAACUUGUGCUUUGAGGUGAAUCAGUAAAUUGAAAAAUCAUUUUGUCUGUAUGAAGUGUUUGACAAUAAAACAGAUGGAUUUUUCCUUUUCUGCAGCUAUACUGUUUCUGAACAGGUUAAUUGUUUCUCUGUAUCUUGCUUGAGGGUGAGGGGGUGGAAAUCUGACACACGCAUACACACACAAAACAGCAGUAACAGCAGCAGCUUAAAGCAUGACUAAUCAUGCAUGAAGUGGCAUGUACGCAAUUGAGCAAACCAACAAUCAAAAUAAAUGCUAAACAAAACAUUACUCAUACAAAUACAAGAGACAAAGACUGUGUGUCUCUGGGGGUGCAAUAUCACCUGUCUCCUGCUCGAUUGCUCCUGUCUGCUGAGAGGUUGGUUUGUUUGUAGCUGCGUGUAGCUUCGCUUUUCAAUUUAUCACCUCUUCUCUAACGAUCAAAUAUAAUUUAACUGUGUACAUAUUGUUGAUACUAUCAAAUUAAUCUAACUAAUUAGACUACUGUUAUUUCGUUCGCUUUAAUCUAAAACUCGGCGGUGAGUUGGUGAGUUAGUACUCGUUAGCCGAAUCACUUUCGCUCUCACCCGCAUUUUCGCGCCUAUUGUGGGCUUUUUUUUCCGCUCCUGUUCAUUUGUUCUUCGCGCUUGUUUGCUCCGCUUUCACAAGCUCAUCAAAACAAGAGUGGUAAGUGAAUCCUUACGGUGAGUAAAUGGCUUCUCCCUGCAUCGUCACUUGCACCGUCUGUCACAUGUAUAGUUUAUCCUUCUCUGUUAGCGAUCAGGG